GACGAACGCUAGCGGCGUGCCUAAUACAUGCAAGUUGAGCGCUGAAGGUUGGUACUUGUACCGACUGGAUGAGCAGCGAACGGGUGAGUAACGCGUGGGGAAUCUGCCUUUGAGCGGGGGACAACAUUUGGAAACGAAUGCUAAUACCGCAUAAAAACUUUAAACACAAGUUUUAAGUUUGAAAGAUGCAAUUGCAUCACUCAAAGAUGAUCCCGCGUUGUAUUAGCUAGUUGGUGAGGUAAAGGCUCACCAAGGCGAUGAUACAUAGCCGACCUGAGAGGGUGAUCGGCCACAUUGGGACUGAGACACGGCCCAAACUCCUACGGGAGGCAGCAGUAGGGAAUCUUCGGCAAUGGACGAAAGUCUGACCGAGCAACGCCGCGUGAGUGAAGAAGGUUUUCGGAUCGUAAAACUCUGUUGGUAGAGAAGAACGUUGGUGAGAGUGGAAAGCUCAUCAAGUGACGGUAACUACCCAGAAAGGGACGGCUAACUACGUG
rnacentral:rRNA from 1 species